GGAGGGGUAGCGAAGCCUGGCCGUACCGCGCCCGACUCGAAAUCGGGUUCUCGGGUUAUAACCCCGGGACGUGGGUUCGAAUCCCACCCCCUCCG
rnacentral:tRNA from 1 species